GAGAAGAAAGUAAGAAAGAGCACACAGGGGAUGCCUUGGCUCUCAGAGGCGAUGAAGGACGUGAUAAGCUGCGAUAAGCUCCGGGGAUUAGCAAAUAUGAAUUAAUCCGGAGAUUUCCGAAUGGGGAAACCUGGCUAGUUGAAGACUAGUCGCAUUACGAUGCGCAAACCUGCCGAACUGAAACAUCUAAGUAAGCAGAGGAAGAGAAAAUAAUAAUGAUUUCCAAAGUAGUGGCGAGCGAACUGGAAAGAGCCCAAACCAUUUUUGUUACGGCAAAGAUGGGGUUGUAGGACUACAAUGUGGUAUUAAUGAAAUGAAGUGGAACAGGAUGGGAAGCCUGGCAAUAUAGCGUGAGAGCCGCGUACACGUAAGUAACAUUAGCCUAGUAGUAUCCUGAGUACCGCGAGGUCGGAGACGCCUUGUGGGAAUCUGCCGGCACCAUCCGGUAAGGCUAAAUACUCCUGAGAGACCGAUAGUGAACCAGUACCGUGAGGGAAAGGUGAAAAGAACCCCGAACAGGGGAGUGAAAUAGAACCUGAAACUGUGUGCUUACAAGCGGUCGGAGCGUCCAGGUGGCGUGACGGCGUGCCUUUUGCAUAAUGAGCCUACGAGUUACUCUUCUCUGGCAAGGUUAAGUGUUUAAGACACGCAGCCGAAGCGAAAGCGAGUCUGAAUAGGGCGUAUAGUCAGGGGAGGUAGACGCGAAACCUUGUGAUCUACCCAUGGACAGGUUGAAGGUGCGGUAACACGUACUGGAGGACCGAACCGAUAAACGUUGAAAAGUUUCCGGAUGAUCUGUGGGUAGGGGUGAAAGGCUAAUCAAACUGGGAAAUAGCUCGUACUCCCCGAAAUGUUUUUAGGAACAGCGUUGUGGUAAAGUUUUAUAGAGGUAGAGCUACUGAUUGGGUGCGGGGGAGUCAAAUCCUACCAAAUCCAGACAAACUCCGAAUGCUAUAAAAUAUACGCAGCAGUGAGGCCCGGGGUGCUAAGGUCACGGGCCGAGAGGGAAAGAACCCAGACCAUCAGCUAAGGUCCCAAAAUUACUACUAAGUUGAACUAACGAGGUGCGAUUGCACAGACAGCUAGGAUGUUGGCUUGGAAGCAGCCAUUCAUUUAAAGAGUGCGUAACAGCUCACUAGUCGAGCGAUCGUGCAUGGAUAAUAAACGGGCAUCAAGUAGUAUACCGAAGCUAUGGGUAAUAUUAAUAUUACGGUAGGGGAGCAUUCCAGCGGCAGCGAAGAUAUGACGUAAGUUGUGUUGGAGCUUCUGGAAAAGCAAAUGUAGGCAUAAGUAACGAUAAGGCAGGCGAGAAACCUGCCCACCGAAAGGAUAAGGUUUCCUGAUCAACGCUAAUCGGAUCAGGGUUAGUCGGGGCCUAAGGAGAACCCGAAGGGGAAAUUCGAUGGACAACUGGUUAAUAUUCCAGUACUUUUUAUAACUGCGAUGUGGGGACGGAGUAGUGACACUGCCGCGAUCUGACGGAAUAGAUCGUUAAAGACUGUAGGUAUUAGGACUGUAGGCAAAUCCGCAGACCUAGCUGAACGUCGAUAGUA
rnacentral:rRNA from 1 species